CCAGUGUGUUUACAGUCCACUUAAAAUGACGUAAACCACUGCUAUAAAUAUAGGUCGCCUAAUGAUGACGUUCUCAGUGGAGACGAUUCCGUAGCGGUUGCCUCCACUUCUCGACAUGAGGGCUAAGUGGCGAAAGAAGCGCAUGCGCAGGCUGAAGCGUAAAAGGAGAAAGAUGAGGCAGAGGUCCAAGUAAGCUGUCUGGUUUCUACGCCAUGGCUGCGACUACGCAUGUUGCCAACAACCAGACCGGCGAGCUCAGCUCGAGACCCAGGAUCUUUCCGGAGUGAAGUCUGCGGCCAGUGGCCCUCAUAGCAACCUGAGGCGGUGGAGCUGCUGCAGCUGUUCGAUGCUGGAGAGCUGAUUCAAGACCUGCUGGAUGACGGGCUUUUCCUGGGAAUUUCUGGACUCUUUGUUCCUAAUUCCUCAACUUUUUGUCAUUUGUUGUUGUUUAUACGUUGAUUAAAGGUUUUGGUUUAGAAAAUGA